UACGUAGGGAGCAAGCGUUGUUCGGAUUUACUGGGCGUAAAGGGCGCGUAGGCGGCAAUUCAAGUCAUCUGUGAAAUCUCCGGGCUUAACUCGGAACGGUCAGAUGAUACUGCUUUGCUAGAGUGCGGAAGGGGCAAUCGGAAUUCUCGGUGUAGCGGUGAAAUGCGUAGAUAUCGGGAGGAACACCAGAGGUGAAGACGGGUUGCUGGGCCGACACUGACGCUGAGGCGCGAAAGCCAGGGGAGCAAACGGG
rnacentral:rRNA from 1 species